GAAGAUCUGUACUCGAGGGUAACAUGGGUCAUCGAAGAAAUGUAGGAUCAUUUAGGAGCAUGCGUAGGCUAUUGGUGGAUGUGGUUGUUGGUCAUGGUUGUUCUGCGCACGAGUCGGGAGUAGCUGCUGGGCUCUUGGGUUCUUACGCUAAAUGGCUGCUCGUCAAGUUGGAUACAGGCACAGAAAAUAUCAAUAAAACUAGCAAUAAGAACAACCCUACUACUGGCAACAACAAUAUCCACAACAACAACAACAACAACAACAACAACAACAACAACAACAACAACAACAACAACAACAACAACAACAACA